rnacentral:rRNA from 1 species
CCUACGGGAGGCAGCAGUGAGGAAUAUUGGUCAAUGGACGAGAGUCUGAACCAGCCAAGUAGCGUGAAGGAUGACUGCCCUAUGGGUUGGAAACGUCUGUUAUAGGGGAAUAAAAUGUACCACGUGUGGGAUUUUGUAUGGACCAUAUGAAUAAGGAACGGAUAACUCCGUGCCAGCAGCCGCGGUAAGACGGAGGAUCCGAGCGUUAUCCGGAUUGGAUGGGUUGAAAGGGAGCGUAGGGGGCUUGUUAAGUCAGUUGUGAAAGUUUGCGGCUCCACCGUAAAAUUGCAGUUGAGACGGGCAGUCUUGCGUCCAGUAGAGGUGGGCGGACUUCGUUUUGUAGCGG